AAGGAUUUAAGUUAAAUAUUAAACUAUCAGCCUUCAAAGUUGAAAAUAGAGGUAUAUCUAAGCCUUA
rnacentral:tRNA from 1 species